rnacentral:lncRNA from 1 species
GUUGGAAGCUCACAGUCUAGAAGAGGUAGCCGCAGAGAACAGAAGCAUCAGGGAGCCAGAAAAAGAAACUGCUGUUUAUAGUUACCUUCAACAUUUUAAUUUGAAAAUUGAUAUCUCAUCUCUACUAUUCCACUUCUCUACAUACUUCUGUCUCCUACUAUGCUAAAUUUCUGACCAGUCUUUCUUCAUGCUGUGCUAAUAGCUUUGCAUGUGUGUUUCUCUGCCUAGAACAGCCCUUCCGUCUCCUUAAACUGAAGAGAUGCUAUUGAUCCUUCCUGACACAGCUUAUGGGUUACGUCUUUGCAAAGUAUUUCCUCUUCCCUAGUCAACUGGUCACACUCUACUGUCUACUGCCACAGUGCUUUCUGACUCCACUGUAGGACUGAUUUUCCACUGUGUUAGAAUUGCUUAUUUAUCUCUCUCCUCUACUAAACAAUGAGCAUUUGGAAAGCACGGCUUAUGACUUAAAAUACUUUUUACCUAUCUGCGCUCUAGAAAACGUUAAAGGAAGUUCUGGAAAACAGCUCAUGAUGGAAACUUGGAUCUACACAAAGCUAUGAAGAGUGCCAAAAAAGGAGACCUCGUGAGAAGCAGUUACUUAAAUUUGGAAGAAUGCUCAAGAGAGAAGAUUAUCUGAUAAUUUGAAGAUGCCCAUAAAGUAUCUUAGAUUAAAAAAAGGAAUUGCUCAACAAGCACAUGAAGAAUGAUCACUGCCAUGAACUGAAACAUUCUGACUUGAUAAAAAAAUAAAAUAUGUGAAUUCACUAUAGAAAAUUCUCAAUAAUUAAGACUCAGAGAGAUACAACAGUAGAUUCACAAACGUCUGGAAACCUAUCACACAAGCCCUCACUCUGGUAGAAACAAGUUGCCAUAUUAUGAGCUGUCCUUGGAGGUGUUCACAUGAGAAGGCACUGAUGACUCUUACCAACAGCCAGCAAGGAUCUGAAGCCCACAAACAAUCAUGGACACAAACAACUUUACUGACAAUGACGGCCUCCCUCAGGAAGCAGACGAGACACAGCGGUCGUGGAACCCACGUGCUGAAGAUGCGGAAAUGUGAGAUGGAAGGGUCUGAGCGCCGAAGUCACUGCUUAGAACAGAGCCCUCUCCUGUCAGAAACAUCUCUUUUGCACUUUACCAACAUGAAAAAUAAAC